UUUGAAGCUCCCAACUUGAUUUUAAUAUUCAUUUAAAUUUAAACCCCCAGAUUGAAAACCAGUGAUCUGUGACCUCCGCCUGGUCAGGUAGUGAUCAGCGUUUAUCUUAUAAAUAGACACGCCACUGACAGACUGUAGCAGCAAGAAAUAUAAUCAAGGUUUCACUUGAAACCAGGGUAGACUGGCAGCAAGUUGUGAUGAUAUAAGUUUGCAUACAGAGUUUAGGUCAGUAUUCUAGACUCCGAAAAUUUUUAAAGGACUUUGAAAGAUGCUUGGUACAAAGAAGACAGUCUAUGUGAAAUAAGCAAAUUACAGUGUACUCUGGCACCUGGAGGAACUGAACUGCUUGAUAGUGAACAGAAGAGGGCGCUCUGGCACAAGAAUCAUAUUGCAUUGUGGUCCCAAACCAGGUGUGAGGUGGGGGGUUGGCAUGAGAACAAGGCAAAAGCCCAGUUUGUGAAAUCAGGUUUUAUCAGUUAAGAUGAUUUGGAUGCAAGCAAUAAACUACCUGACUAAAAGUAGCUUAAAAAAUAAGUGUGUUAAUCUCAUAACUGAAAUUUGGGGGUAGGCAGCUUUAGGUUCAAUCCAGUUGAAUGCUCUCAGGACUCUAGACUGGUUCUUCUAUUCUGUGAUUCUCUUCGCUUUCCCUUUUUGCUCGCAAGAUGCCUGCCACAGCUGUAAGCAUUCUGUCUUCACACAGUUGCAUACAAAAGCAGGAAGAAAGGAGAAGUUGAAUCUGAACUGGUCUAUCCUCAGAAAUAAUCAGAAGAAAAAUAUUUUCUGGAACAACCUCCCUCCCCCAGCCCCAACAGACUUCCCUCAUGUUUCCCUGGCCAGAACUGAGUCGCAUGCCAACCUCUACAUUAAUCACUGUCAAAGAGAGUAACGGAAGAGUCUGUAUGGCUUUGGAGUUGGCGCAGAAAAUAGUAAUUACAACAACCACAACAACUCACAUGACCUUGGCCAGUUGGAGUCAACAUAUGAGUGCACACAAUCUUUAUCUACUCCAUAGGAUUCUGUUCUCUGGCCGAAGGCCUAUUCGUAAGAAAGAAAACAAUGUGCUCCAAGCUCCACCAGCGCAACUGGAAAAUGAGACCUUAAGCAAUCUAAUACGCAUAGACAGGUAUGUCAGGGAAGAAUUCUUAGGCUGUAACGCCUUAGCUGAGAUCUGAACCAUGAACAAGAAUUAAGGAUACAAAAAGAGAGGAAGGAGCAUUCCAUGCAGAAGAAAAGUCCAUGCAAAAGCCUUGUGGCAGGAGGGAGCAGAGCACAUAAACAGAGACUGGAGGAAGAACCAUGGGAGAUGAAGCUGGAAAGAGAAGUGACGUCAUAUGAGCGGUAUUCUAUAUGGGCCUAGCAUUCAGAGACUGGAUAUAUCAAUGUGUGAACAUUCAGCAUAUAGAUAAUGAUUACCUUGAGACUUCAAGAAUUCCAAUAUUGAGUGUUCAGGUAAAACAGUAUGAACCCACAAAAGAGAUAGGGAAGUAGCCAGUGAGGUAAGAAUAGGAGAAGUAAGAAAAGGAGAAGAGGAGAGUCUCAUAAGUCCCAGAAGCCAGGACUACCAAGGUUAAUGAGAGAUGCAAAAGCAUAUGAUGUAAAAUAACUUGAUCUUCAAUGAUAGGUGUUUGGUGAGAUGAUGGAGGGGUGAGCCUGACGGCAGAAGCCUAGGAAUAUAUGGAAACUGAGGAAAUGGAGCCAGGGAUAACGGCAACUUUUGGAAGAAGUUUGUCUAUGAAGGGAUGGAGAGAAAUUGGGAGGUACUAAAGGAUAAUGGGAGGUUGGAUUUAUAGCUGCUGUUUUAAUGAGAUACUUGGUUAGGCUUAAUAGACUAAAAAAAGGGGGAAUUUGAAUAGACAUUUUCUCUCUUUUUUGUUUUACCCUCCACCUGAGUCUUACUUCUUUCCCUAGUGAACUAAAGCCAUUGAGAAAACGUAAAGAGGAUGCGCCCAACAAAUUGAUAGUACACCUGCCUGCUUAGGGGAGACAUAGUUUCUUCUUCCUUGAAGGCUUCAGUUAAUAACAAUCAUAAUACUAUUAAUGACAUCGCCAGUAACAUUUCUAUAAAUUUUCUCAUCCUCAUAAAUGUACUACUCGUUUUAGGCAUUGUUAUAUACAUUUUACAGAUGAUGAAACUAAGUUUCAGAAUGGGUAAGCAACUUCCCAGAUGUCACACAGCUAACAUAUCCAGGAGUAAGAAUUAAAACACUGUAACAAUGACUUUAAAUUCUGUGUAGGUCACCCUGCCCGUUUUAUUCUAUCCUAACUGUAUCCAAAGUUUUGCAUUUGCUUUGGAGGUAGCAUCUUAGUCUUUCAUCGAAUGCCAAUAAUAAAUCUAAAUUCCUCAGUGUGGCAUUCAUUUCCCCUUGUUAUGUGGCCCCAACUUAACACUCCUAGGAAUAAUACAGCC
rnacentral:lncRNA from 1 species